UUAGACUUUUCUGUCAGUUUUCUAGAAGAUUGACUGAAGUAUUCUACCAACUUGGACAAAAGCCUUCUCUAAAGGCAAGAAGAAGCUACAGAUUUAUCCCACAGGAUGACUGGAUGGUAUACAAUCAGUCAUUUAUUCUGUCUGAGGGUUACUGGCAGUUUGUUGUAAGCAGUGUGCAUCAUCAUGACACAACCAUUUGGAUUGAUGGACAGUCUGUU